UCGCAUCUCCAUUAUUUUCUUUCACAAGUUAGAGAGAAAAACUUACAGCCUACCUACGGUUCAUUUUCGGAGCUUUCGUCCACACCUCUCCAGAAAACAGGAAAAAAAAUGGAACCUUUGCUGACGGAAGGCUACCGGACUUCCGGUGAGGGAGAAGGGAAGGUGAAGCCGCCGGUGGCGCCGACCGCCUGGACACUGAGCGCUAUCCCGGAAGGGAUAUCCAUUUGCUGCAUGAAAACAGCAAUGGCUCUCGCGGGCGUCUAUUUUGUUUUCCUUUCUUACGUUUCAGUGGCAUAUACACCUAGCUGGGCGGAGAAGCUGCGGUUGUCACCACUUCUCAUUUUGGCGGUAAUCGUCCCGUUGCUUGGAGCAGUCAUGAUCUGAGAGCAGCGAGAUAGCUGUCGGUUAAUUACACAGGCACACAAUUAUGCGUGUUCUGAUGAUUACAGUGUAUUCUCAUUGUACAGGCUCAGAUUGGUAUGUAAAAGCAUGAGAAACACUGUUCUUAUGUUCCUUUUUCUUGUACGUUGGUUGUGAAAAUCUUUUUGUACUCUAGAUCGUGCAAUGUAUGAAUAAGGACAGAAAAUAUGCAAGAUAAAUGGCAUACUUCAAUGAUCCAA